AAGUCUUAAAACGUGGAGCCGAAUCCAUUCGGGCAAAGCCGACUUGGUGACCAAGUUUUGUCCUGAGCAAUGCACGCCAACUUUAGCCAACUUGGUGAGCAAGUUUUGUCCCAAAGCCAACUUGGUGACCAAGUUUUGUCCCACUCCUCAUAUCCGAACCUUGAGCCUAUAAAUAGAACCUUACCCCCCCCCCCUUAGUUACACCUUAGAAGCUUUCGCACCAAAACUCUGCCCAAACCGAGAGGGAGAGAG